rnacentral:rRNA from 3 species
UCUGGUGCUUUGGCGAGAGGGCAACACCUCUUCCCAUUCCGAACAGAGAAGUUAAGCCUCUUAGCGCCGAUGGUACCACCUUCGUGGUGGAAGAGUAGGUAAGUGCCAGGG